GAUGAAGAACGUAGCGAAAUGCGAUAAGUAGUGUGAAUUGCAGAAUCCCGUGAACCAUCGAGUCUUUGAACGCAAGUUGCGCCCGAAGCCAUCAGGUUGAGGGCACGUCUGCCUGGGCGUCACAUAUCGUUGCCCAAUGCCUAUUGCAGUGCAAUAGGAAUUUCUAGGGCGAAUGAUGGCUUCCCGUGAGCGUUGUUGCCUCGCGGUUGGUUGAAAAUCGAGUCCUUGGUAGGGUGUGCCAUGGUAGAUGGUGGUCGAGUUAGAACGAUACCGAUCAUGUGCAUGCUCCCCAAAAUAUGGCCUCUAUGACCCACACGCGUCUUUUGACGCUCAUGACGAGACCUCAGGUCAGGCGGGGCUACCCGCUGAAUUUAAGCAUAUCAAUAAGCGGAGGA
rnacentral:misc_RNA from 1 species